rnacentral:misc_RNA from 1 species
GAUGAAAACGUAGCGAAAUGCGAUAACUAAUGUGAAUUGCAGAAUUCAGUGAAUCAUCGAGUCUUUGAACGCACAUUGCGCCCCCUGGUAUUCCGGGGGGCAUGCCUGUCCGAGCGUCAUUGCUGCCCUCAAGCACGGCUUGUGUGUUGGGCUCCGUCCCCCCGGGGACGGGUCCGAAAGGCAGCGGCGGCACCGAGUCCGGUCCUCGAGCGUAUGGGGCUUUGUCACCCGCUCUGUAGGCCCGGCCGGCGCCAGCCGACAACCAAUCAUCCUUUUUUCAGGUUGACCUCGGAUCAGGUAGGGAUACCCACUGAACUUAAGCAUAUCAAUAAGCGGAGGA